UUGGCUUAAAUCCUCAAAAUAAAAAAACGCGCCUGUUCCCUCUUCUUCCCCCCAUUAUUUCCCCCUAUUUUUUUUUUAGAUACUUUUCACAAUAGAAUUUGGGUGAAUUCUAAUUAAUAAGAAAACCCUACAUUCUCAUCUUCCUCCUGUUGGUCGCUGGUUAAACUACCGCCGAAGCUCCCGAGGUCACCUUGCUGGUGGCUGGCCGGACUCAGGUAUAAACAAAGUUUAUCUGAAAUAUGCAAAACUCGAUAAGGAAGGGAUGAUAACAAAAACAUCUAUAAUGUUGGGACUUGGUGAAACUGAUAAUGAACUGAAGGAAGCCACGGCUGAUCUAAGGGCCAUAGAUGUCGAUAUUUUGACACUGGGUCAGUAUUUAGAGAAUCGAUACGUUCAAGCUGAAGAGCUCAAAAGGAGUCGUCCGAUAGAUGACCAAGGCAAUCCAAUCAUGCCAUUAGAGGAAGAAACUCUCUCUUGCUGGUUGAAUAUAGUUGGGGGCAUGUAUAAGGGAAGGACAUAUGACCUUUGCUCGGAGAAAACCUUUCAUCGCCUCUAGUAUGGAUUGCAAGGUAUACGAAGUUCUGCCACCAUGCCAGAUGAGCAGCCAAAUAAGAUGCAAUAGAAAGUUCGAGAGCUUGCUAGGAAGUACGAGAAGGAACAAGAAAGAAGGAUGGAGGAGGAGCAACAUAAGACGACACUUGAGUCAGACGUCCAAGAACUCAAGGCUCAAGUAAAUACCUUAAUCAAGCUUCCUUGUUCUUUGCCCCCAGCUCUGAUGAUGAUGGUUGAGAGUAUGAGGAGGAUGGAAUGGAAUAUUAGGUGUUGUUAUUUCAGUUUUAGAUUCUGUUAUUUUGAAGUGUUUGAAAGAAUUUGUUUUGGUGAUUGUUUGCAUACUUUUUUGAUACUUGUUUGCAUAUUGUUUAAGUUGGACGAAUAUGUAUGAUGUUAGGUUGCUUAAUUUUAAUGUUUGAAUUGAUUCGGAA